AGCGAACGCUGGCGGCAGGCUUAACACAUGCAAGUCGAGCGGGCGUAGCAAUACGUCAGCGGCAGACGGGUGAGUAACGCGUGGGAACGUACCUUUUGGUUCGGAACAACACAGGGAAACUUGUGCUAAUACCGGAUAAGCCCUUACGGGGAAAGAUUUAUCGCCGAAAGAUCGGCCCGCGUCUGAUUAGCUAGUUGGUGAGGUAACGGCUCACCAAGGCGACGAUCAGUAGCUGGUCUGAGAGGAUGAUCAGCCACAUUGGGACUGAGACACGGCCCAAACUCCUACGGGAGGCAGCAGUGGGGAAUAUUGGACAAUGGGGGCGAACCCUGAUCCAGCCAUGCCGCGUGAGUGAUGAAGGCCUUAGGGUUGUAAAGCUCUUUUGUCCGGGAAGAUAAUGACGGUACCGGAAGAAUAAGCCCCGGCUAACUUCGUG
rnacentral:rRNA from 1 species